rnacentral:rRNA from 1 species
AGUGAACGCUGGCGGCGUGCCUAAUACAUGCAAGUCGAACGGUAACAGGAAGUAGCUUGCUACUUUGCUGAUUAGUGGCGCACGGGUGAGUAAUGCAUAGGUCAUGUGCCCCAUAGUCUGGGAUAGCCACUGGAAACGGUGAUUAAUACUGGAUACUCCCGAGAGGGGAAAGUUUUUCGCUAUGGGAUCAGCCUAUGUCCUAUCAGCUUGUUGGUGAGGUAAUGGCUCACCAAGGCUAUGACGGGUAUCCGGCCUGAGAGGGUGAACGGACACACUGGAACUGAGACACGGUCCAGACUCCUACGGGAGGCAGCAGUAGGGAAUAUUGCUCAAUGGGGGAAACCCUGAAGCAGCAACGCCGCGUGGAGGAUGAAGGUCUUCGGAUUGUAAACUCCUUUUCUAAGAGAAGAUUAUGACGGUAUCUGAGGAAUAAGCACCGGCUAACUCCGUG